CGAGUGGCGGACGGGUGAGUAAUGUCUGGGAAACUGCCUGAUGGAGGGGGAUAACUACUGGAAACGGUAGCUAAUACCGCAUAACGUCGCAAGACCAAAGAGGGGGACCUUCGGGCCUCUUGCCAUCGGAUGUGCCCAGAUGGGAUUAGCUAGUAGGUGGGGUAACGGCCCACCUAGGCGACGAUCCCUAGCUGGUCUGAGAGGAUGACCAGCCACACUGGAACUGAGACACGGUCCAGACUCCUACGGGAGGCAGCAUG
rnacentral:rRNA from 1 species